rnacentral:rRNA from 1 species
GACGUAGGGCGCGAGCGUUGUCCGGAUUUAUUGGGCGUAAAGAGCUCGUAGGCGGCUUGUCGCGUCGACUGUGAAAUCCCCGAGGCUCAACUUCGGGCUUGCAGUCGAUACGGGCAGGCUAGAGUUCGGUAGGGGGAGACUGGAAUUCCUGGUGUAGCGGUGAAAUGCGCAGAUAUCAGGAGGAACACCGGUGGCGAAGGCGGGUCUCUGGGCCGAUACUGACGCUGAGGAGCGAAAGCGUGGGGAGCGAACAGG